rnacentral:rRNA from 1 species
GACGUAGGUGGCAAGCGUUGUUCGGAAUCACUGGGCAUAAAGCGCACGUAGGCGGCUAAGUCAGUCGGGUGUGAAAGCCCUCGGCUCAACCGAGGAACUGCGCCCGAUACUGCUUGGCUUGAGGUCCGGAGGGGAGAGUGGAAUUCCCGGUGGAGCGGUGAAAUGCGUAGAGAUCGGGAAGAACGCCGGCGGCGAAAGCGACUCUCUGGUCGGAAUCUGACGCUGAGGUGCGAAAGCUAGGGGAGCAAAC